UACGUAGGGUGCAAGCGUUAAUCGGAAUACUGGGCGUAAAGCGUGCGCAGGCGGUGAUGUAAGACAGGUGUGAAAUCCCCGGGCUUAACCUGGGAACUGCAUUUGUGACUGCAUCGCUGGAGUGCGGCAGAGGGGGAUGGAAUUCCGCGUGUAGCAGUGAAAUGCGUAGAUAUGCGGAGGAACACCGAUGGCGAAGGCAAUCCCCUGGGCCUGCACUGACGCUCAUGCACGAAAGCGUGGGGAGCAA
rnacentral:rRNA from 1 species